AGUUUUGGAACACCAGAAGAAAGUAUUCACUCCCCUUCUCAUCGGAUACUUCCAGUCUGUUUCAUAAUGUAUGGGAGAUUCAUGAGACAUUCAAACUCUGACAGAAGCUAUGGAUGGACUGGCCCUGAAGUUUCCAAAGGAUUCAACACUGCAGAUAACAUAAGACCAGACUGUAGCCACAGACCUGAGUGAAGAAACACCGAAACAGACUGCCACCAACCAGCCAUCCCACUAUUAUCUUGUCUAGUUUGCAAGCAGCCCAGCCGAGGAAGUCCACUAUGGAGUCUACAGUAGCCCUCUGUCAAGAGGGAGGUUGACUGAGUUUACAGGAGCUAUUCCCAGAAUUCUGAAUAGUUUAUUAAUGGGUGCCAGGUGGUAAAAUUUGGUACUUAUGCUAAGUGCAACACAUCCUGAAACCCAAGAUAACCUUCCUAGAACUCAGAUCUUCACAUUAUAAACAAUUCACGCUGUAAUUAUUGUCCAAACAUUUAUGGAGAGAGUGAUUUCACAGUGUUGGAAGUCAUUGUGGUGGCUUAUGUACUGGUUGCAAUACCCCUUCUGCCCAUCAAAGAUCCUGGACACAAACUGGAGACUACUAUAAGAAGAGUCACUGAUAUGGCCCAACUGGAAUGAAAGAACCCAUUUACUCUUAAGCAGAUAUUGAUAUUAAAGCACAAUUGAGUAAACAGGGACAUGGAGACUAUAACUGAGAGGAAAACCCUCUCCUAAGGCAUAGGAAUAUUUCUUAACACCUGGAGGAAGUGACAUGACAUCUUUAGGCCAGUUUGGUACAGACUCAGAAAACCUUCAUGAAAGUCCAAGAAAUCAUAUGUCAGAUGUUCCUGGGUAACUGAAAUUGAACCACUGUGCUGGAGGAUCUGCUGUCAAACCUCUAGUAAAGAGAAAGAUUUUAAAAUGUCAAGGUAGAAAGGUCUGUCAGAAUUUCAAAGAGGCAUGGUGGUAGACGAACUUCUAGUCUGAUUCUCGGUAACCUGAACACUUAAGGUAAUGUAUACUGAAGAACGGUGUCAGUGAACUGAACACUUAAAGUAAUGUAUAUUGAAAAACGGUGUCAGUGACAUGAACACUUAAA